AGCGAACGCUGGCGGCAGGCCUAACACAUGCAAGUCGAACGAACCUUUCGGGGUUAGUGGCGGACGGGUGAGUAACACGUGGGAACGUGCCUUUAGGUUCGGAAUAACUCAGGGAAACUUGUGCUAAUACCGAAUGUGCCCUUCGGGGGAAAGAUUUAUCGCCUUUAGAGCGGCCCGCGUCUGAUUAGCUAGUUGGUUGAGGUAAUGGCUCACCAAGGCGACGAUCAGUAGCUGGUCUGAGAGGAUGAUCAGCCACAUUGGGACUGAGACACGGCCCAAACUCCUACGGGAGGCAGCAGUGGGGAAUCUUGCGCAAUGGGCGAAAGCCUGACGCAGCCAUGCCGCGUGAAUGAUGAAGGUCUUAGGAUUGUAAAAUUCUUUCACCGGGGACGAUAAUGACGGUACCCGGAGAAUAAGCCCCGGCUAACUUCGUG
rnacentral:rRNA from 1 species